ensembl:snoRNA U3 Small nucleolar RNA U3
AGCCGCGAUGACGAGUCGCGACGCUUCCCUCUGAGCGCGAAUCGGAUGGAGAGUAAUGAGUCAAAUCAUCCGCUCUUCAUCAUUGAUGACCGUUCCUGCUGUGUCUCACAGCCAGGAGGAGGGAGGUGUGAGCAGAGCGGC